CCGGGCCGGAAGGCGACACCGAACGGACCAUGGGGAAGAUGGAGGGCGCCGCGACGGGCUCACGUGGGCGCGGGGCUGCGGGGGACGAGGAGGCAGACAGCGAAUCUGAGUUAAGCUCAGGACUUCCAGAAGACAGCUACUCUUCAGGAGGCGAAGCCCUGGAUGGUGAUGAUGAAGAUGAAAUGGCAGACGUUGGCAAUGUGGUUGAGGAAGCAAAAAUCUCCAAAGCCGGCCCAAGUGCAGGCUGGGCAGAUGCCAUGGCAAAAGUGCUCAACAAAAAGAUUCCACAAAAUAAGUCCACCAUCUUGGCAAAGAAUAGAAAACUGGAGAAGGAGAGAGAAAAGGAAAAACAGGAAAGGCUGGAGAAGAGGAUGAAGCUCGAUAAAAAGCGGGAGUGGGAAAUGAUGUGCCGAGUGAAGCCAGAUGUUGUCAAAGACCGAGACAGUGAAAGAAAUCUUCAGAGAAUUGCCACGAGGGGUGUUGUACAAUUAUUUAAUGCUGUCAGGACUCACCAAAAGAACAUUGAUGAGAAGGUGAAGAAAGGUGGGAGCUCUGACAGGCAGCGUAGUAAACUGCUGUCAUCUGUUUCAAAGAAAGAUUUCAUCAGUGUUUUAAGAAACAUGGAUGGUGCUAAAGGAAGCAAGAAUGCUGCUGGAGAGGCCACAAAAAGUAAUCAGGGUGAAGUGAAGUCUGAGGAGGGGCCAGGAUGGAAUAUACUGCGUGAUGACUUCAUGAUGGGAGCAUCUAUGAAAGACUGGGACAAGGAAAGUGAUGGAGAGGGCAAUAUUGAACAAGGAGGUCAUCUCAAACAAGAAGAUGACAGCGACUGAAUGAAAAUGAUUCAAGAUAAUGUUUUAUCUUCUUAACUUUGUUUGGAUAAAAAGGCAGCAUUCUGUGAAUGUACAACACUUGGAUAUCUCCUUUUUUUUAAAAAAAAAAAUGAAAAAACAAAAACCAAACUUGCACAACUUUGGAGUGUUUUCUCCUCCAUGUCAAACUUUUAUUUAAUAUAGCUUCAUUUGCUAUACUGAAAUCCUGAAAUAUUUUCCAAAACAUGUUUAAUUUUCAACAUAUUUCCAAAACAUUUUGUACAGUCAAAAUAGUGGCACCUGCCCAAUGAAAGAAAGAUUUUGCCAAGGUCAUUAAAAGUUUAUACAUUAGUCAUGGCAAUUGAUGUAUUAGUGUGCCUGCCUUUCCAAAUCAGUGUUGCACUUUGAAAAGUUGUUAGCAAUUCGCAAUAGAAAUGGCUUCUAAUAAACACAAAAAUGCCAUCACCUUGUAAAGUUAUCGAACUCCUACAGAGUCUUUACUACUUUGGCCAGGAAAGGUUUUGUAGAUAAUAAAGAAAAGUAACCAUGAAUGUGAUAGUUCUGGUCUUGGAGCGUUAGUUUGAUUGGAGACAACUCUGGAAACAUAAUUGUAAAAAGAGAGACUUGACCCUACUGAUUGGCUUUUAUAUUUAUAUAUGUAUGUUUUUCCAUUGCAAGUCUGAAGUUGUAUAAGCUAAGAGACUGGUAGGAGAGGAAAGGACAAUCCUUGCUAUUGUUUCUCUUGGAGGGGGCAGGGCUUUUUUAGCAAUACUGCAUAAAAUAGUAUUCAGUGUCACUUUAUUUGCAGUUCUGGCUCCCUUUUCUGGAGCUGGACCUCUGAGAUACAUCCUGUGGGUUUAGUCAGCUAUAAUGUUAAUUCCUCAGCUCUGUAAAGGGUCAAACAAAAGUGCUUCCUCUUAGGUGUGUAAUGUACCAAUACCAGAUUUUGGAAAACAUAUGUCAGCAUAACACUACUGGCUUUGUUUAUGCUGCAGCAAUUUCUCCUUAUUGUUUGUUUUCAAAGGUGCAGAAGCUAACAUAAAUACCAUCAACACAGUGUGUAUAAGCAUAUGCAUACAGAAGGAACUGAAUUGUGCUUAAGGUACUCUAAAUGAGAGUCUGGGGCUGAAUUCUGCUGCCUUCAGUGUUUCAGACUGGCUGGCUGAUGCUGUGCCAUUUGUUUAACUUUGCUAUCAUGUUUUCCUGUUUGCUGUGUGAAGAAAAUGCCUUGGGGCCGAUUAAUUGAUACUAAAAAUACAUACUACUAUUCAGUCUUAUUCUACAGAUGUCAUAUGUACAAACCUUUCUUUGUACUUGCUUAUACACUAGAUUGAUAUGAUUAGGGGCAUUUUCAAAUCUUCAGUUGUCAGCACUGAAAUGUGUGGUAGGACAGUGGAUUUAGAUUUUACUAACAAAGGUAUUGAGGAGCGGAAAGAAGUUGAACUUUGUGUAUACUGCAGGAUGAAAAGUAUACAUACAAAAUGGCAGAGAAACCCAUCCCAACAACUGGAAAUGGUUCUGUUAUCCUUAGCCUAUUCAUCUGGUAUAGAUUGUAGCAUAAUUCUUUGAGGAGAACUCAAAGCUAACAGCAGAAAUGUUUAGAUUUUCAAGCUGUUAUGAGUGUUAAACAUAUUAGAUAUCUGAGAAGACAUUAGUUUGUGGCCUGAUAUUUAUUAUCACAAAUGAACACAUACACCCAAAAUACCAAGUGGCAAAACCGCAGAAGUUUGACAUAGGGUUAUCCCAGCUUCUGAGGAUUAGACAUCUGUAUAGCUGUUCAGCGAGGGUUGGCAUCUCAUUAGUGCAAUACUAAAACAUACUGUAAUGAAUUUUGAUUCUUUGUAGCAGCAUAAUGAUCUAAUCUGACAUUGCUUUCUUUCUGCAGAGUUCAGUUACUUUGUGUGGAAAAAUUACAUCAGCACUCUUAAAUCUACAGUCAUUCCUUAGUUUGAUAUCACCAGUCUCUGAGAUAGAACUUUUGGAAAAUAAUCUAGUUUUUCUUAUGAACUGUGACAUACUGAGAGGAUCAUUAAAAUUUUCAGAAAACUUUCAGAAUAAUUCUGUAAUAAGUGAGUGUUUUACUUGUGCUUUUUUGAAGUAAUGUUUUGAUCAAGGCACUGAAGUGUCAGUUGUGUAUUUAAGAAAAAUGUGGAAUAUAUCAAUAUUGCUAAAAAUAUUUUGAGUUUCCAUUUCACUUAGAGCACAUCGCAGUACUUUUUGCCUAUAAGUUGAGAGUAUUUUUUUGCCUUUUAAGAAGCAUAAUACUCGGGUUUUUAUGUAUAUUGGAUAGGUUUUUUAAAUUUUGAUACUAUAUCUUGCUUUUGCCUUGUCCGUUGGUAGUGCCAUAUGCAGAGAAACUCCUAGAAUAACUUAAAUUCGUAAUUUCCUCCAAAAGAGAAAUUAGCUCAAGACUCUUAAUGGCAGCUAUGCGUGGUAUAUUUUAAUUUUAGGCCUCUGGUGAACAAUACAUUUCACAAGUUUUGUUUUAAUUGACUAGCAAUGCAAAAGAAGAGCUAAGCCCUGCUUGGCCCAUACACCUUCCAGUCAUCUCUCUCAGCUGUGGAAUCGGCUGCCCUACACCUUUUUUUCGGUAAUGUUCUUUUCAAUAACACCAAGAACAAUUUUCAGUGGCUUUUCCCAGCCAUCAGAGUGCUCAGUCUGUUUUGCCUGCUCCCAUGAAUAUCUCUGCUUAAGCAAAGCUCUGCCACUGCCCUUCAUUCCAGAGAGCAUGAAUCAUCUCAACUUUGUAUAUUUCUGUACCUAUCUAUAUAAAGGCAAUAAGGAUGGGGUGGUUCCAGUUUUGUUAGGCUUCAAGCCAACUACAGGGUAUGUAGACUUUAAUAUUCUAUGGAUUGCAUGCAAAGAAACGAAGUUGUGUUUUCCUUUUUUUUUUUUUUCUUUAUAGAAGGCACAGGGUUCAGCUCUUCCCAUGUCUCUCAACCUCUGGUCUAAUUUCUCUUCAUGUUAAUUGUGCUGACUUCUCUUCAGCAAGAGAAUCAUAAGUUGGCCUAUGAAAAAAAGAUAAAAAAAGACCACUUUCUCACUGCUUUUCGUCAGCCUGCUGUUAGGGAAACAUGUAGGGAGCAGUGGUGGAAUAUCCUUGUUGUGCCUGAUGCUACUGCUCCACAGCAUCUUUCUUCCCUGCUAAAACACGGAGGGAAGAGCUCCCACUUCUGCAGCUGUGAGGCAUGUUCUCCUGGGUUCACAAGUUAAGCAGAAUAAAAGAGUUGGAAGCUGCUGCCUGGGGCCCCUACUGCUUACUAGUGGAGAUAGGGCUUUCUUGUGUAUUUUUUUUGAAAGAGAAAUGAAUUGUUUGGAGGUCAUAAAAGUGUUUUGACUAUCUGAUGAUUCCAGAAGAAGGUGGUCUGUAAAGCUGCAUCUGUUCAGAGCUGGCUCAGUAGCUGUCUCCAGGGAGGAAGGCAGAAGUCAUCUGGCACGCAACACACUGCACAACUUAAAAUGACAAAAUCCUCAUUCUUAUGAAAUGAGUCCUGGCAUAGUUAAUAUCCACACAGAGCAGUCAUCAAUGUUGUUCACUUCCAGCCCCUGCAAAUUGCUCAAUGAUUUCUUCAAUACUUGCUGAGGUAAGGAAUAAGAGAGCCAGGAGAAGGCCUGAAGUAGUGAAGACUCUUGGGAUCUUGUUAAACAGAUAGGAUCCUAGUGCUAAAUAAGAUAUUAAACUUAGACUGUAGGACCUCAGUGACAAGACACUGGAGACCGGACAAGUUCUUGGUUAACACAUGGUAGAAGACUUGAUUUCAUUUACUGUUAUUCCAAAGCAGUGGCUUUUAACCUCUUGUCAGUAUGUAAACCUCAAGGUUUCCCCUCUGUAGAUGAUCUAGCAGAUAAGGGCUUUUCCUUAAAUGUUCUUUUUCAGACUGAUAGGGAUGGCUGAUAUUUCUUAGACAAAACAUUUUGUUUUCAAAUACAUCUUUUUAAUUGCUUUUCUGUCUUAAGGGAAAUGUUGAAAUAGAACUCCAGUCAAACUGAAUAGCUUCAACACCAAAAAUGCUUCUGUUUGUGUAAUGCUUCAUCCUUUGAAAUUAUUUCCUACUGUUUAAAUCCCUCUGUUUAAUCUGUUGGAUAUCAAAUCAUAAAAUGAACUAGGACGCUUCCAUCAAGCCUUCAGAUAUGACCUGAUGAGCAUAAAUGGCUUCCAAGAGACUAUGGAAGAUUGAGUCACCAAGCUCAGACCAUCUCACUGGAAGGGUGUAGUUUGAUCUGCCACUCAAGAGAGCCAUUAGGAAAAACAUGAUUUAUCAAGCCGUAUUAGCUUAUUGGAGCUUUUCUUCUGUGCACACUGUACCAGCAGCUUGUGAAAAAGAUGGUACCAAAGCCAUUUGGGUUUUGUACCUGCAGGACAUAACUUAAAAUAUUGCAUUAAUGGUUGGUCUGUUUUUGAAGUUCCUGCAAAUUAAUCUUGCUCUGUAUUGUAAUCUUUUUAAAUCAUCUGCAGUGAAAUCUGGGUGCUUAUUCUAACUCGAGUUACAUAAUUUUCAUUUGUUGAAUAAACUCCUGUAGAUGCUCUUAGGAAUACAAUAUUUCUACAUAUAGUUUGUGUGUUACUUACUGAGGUAUAACCCGAAUCAGCACUGGGCAGUUCAGAAAUAGAAGGCAACAGCUGUAAUACUGAGAAAGAGAUGCAGGUCAGGAGUUCAAACUCUGAGAUUAAAAGGAUGACUUUAGUGUCUUUACUUUGUCAUGCUUGCUAUAAGUAGAUAUCAAGACCCUCUGGUAUAUAAACCACCACACGUGUAUUUCUCCUUUUUUAAAAAAUAUUUUUAUUUUUAGUAAGUCAAUCUGAUAAUACUCCUCUGCUGAUAUUUAAGUCUUACUGACUUUAGUGGAAACAGGAUUUCCUGUGGUGAUUAAAACCACAGGUGCUUAGGAUUAAGGAAGGCCCUUUUUUGGGUGGCACAUAGACUAAAACCUCAAUGAUGCAGAGAACAGAUUAGUGUGGCAUCCUCAGGGCUGACGAGCAGAUUUGGAAGAGCACGUGAGGGGAUCAAACUCUUGAGAGGUGUGUCCAUAGGGGAACUACUCUGGCAUUCACAACAUUUUUAUCAAGACUUCAAUCUUAACUUUAAAGAUGGGAACUGGCUGUUGGAAGCAGAAACUGUUUGGAAUGCAGUACUCGUCUGUGCAGCCUCUACAGAAAACACAUAUAUUUUUAGGAUAGGCGGUUUAGACCAUUGAUCGUUGCCUUGCUUCCCUAGACUCUCUAAUGUCUAUCUGUGCUUUUUGAAGAGAGAGGGCAAUUUUGUUACAGGGAAACUAUUUGCUGCCUUGCCAAAUCCAAGAUGUGAAUAAUAACCCUAGCACUGAAAUACAGACUGCUGGUCACGUUCCUUUCUGUUCCUUUUCCCCCCUCUUAUCCAUAAGACUUUUUUCUUUGAGGGGGAAGUUAUUCUAAUGGACAGGUAUAGUGUCUUAGCCCUCCUGAACAUUCCGCUUUCCUUCAAAGUCAUUCUGGCUUCAGGUGUCUUGGGAUCAGGAUCCUGUCUUCGGUUCUUUUUUUUUUUUUUUCUGCUGUAAUUGCAUUCUAGAUAUCUUUAAGGAAUGGUUUUAAACACACACACUAUACACUGCCGUGUGAACGUUACAGCUUGCUGUAAUACUGCAUUCUCACUUAAUAGUGGAGGUGGUGCCAUUUCAAAAGAUCGCAGAGGUGACACCUGAAUGGCUCUUUUGGUCCACAUCCCAUUGAGUACUCUCUUGUGAUUGUUUUCACUUAAGUUAUUGAACCUAUUUGUAGGAAUGAGAACUUUUAUUGUUUUGUUUAUUUGCAUGUAUGUGUGUGUGUGUUUAAAAACUAUAUUUAUAAAAAAGAUAAAAGUAUGUCUAUAUCUAUAAAUAUAUGUAGUAGAUAUAAAAAUAAAUUUCUGAUUCCUACUAUAUAUGAUACGUAUUCAUUCCUAUAUGUAAAAUCUAUAAAAAAAAUAAAAGUUCUUGUUCCUACAAAUAGGUUCUAUAUACAUAUCAGAAACAGACCUUUCAUUUGCAAGUUGACAAGUAGUUACAUAUGUGUAUGUAUAUAUGGAUAGCAGCCUUGCAUGUCAAACCGCAUGUUCUAUAAAGUAGCCUUUAUCUUCUGGAACAUGAGCGUUGCAGGAGUGGGCUGUGGAUGUGUGAAAUGCAAUCCUAGGGGCAGUGGGGCUGUGCUUGUAUUAGUAAGGUCAGCAGGAUUUGCUCUCAAAUUCAUCCAGGCAUUACUGCGCACACUAAUGAAAUGUGCAGCACAGAAGUAUGGACUUCUGCUUCACUAAGGAUAAUAAACACUAGAAUCUAAGGUUUUAUUAUGGUAUAUAUUACAAUUUUCCGUUAUUUGUCAUCUCCUCUUUGCCUCACCUUUAUUAGGUGCCACCUCAGCUCUACGAGUUGAACCUUCAUAUGUGUAUUUUUAUAAAAAGGAGAAUUCAAAAGCUUUUUCCCUCGCACCCCGCAUCAGAAUAAGUGAGAUUCUACACAACCGCAGUUAUGGCUGUAGAUUUCUGUGUGUGCCACAAAGAAUUAAUUGUGCAAUCAUCCUACACUCGUCAUCCAUGUGAGAGUUUACAAAAGUCACCUCUUAACUUUUUUAAAAGUUAUUCGUCUUCCAACAAUGUUCUUUAGUUUAUGAAAUGUGGCCAGCCACCUUACUUAAUGACCUGGUCGUCAGCAGUUUUAGAAAGAUUAUUGCUUUUGUAUUUCGCACAGCACAUUUGCGUAUAACCAAAACAAUCUAAAAAGAAACCACAAAUUGUAAAAUCCUGACCACAUAAUUUUUAAGUUAAUAGGAAACAUGAAACCUUUACAUUUAGUGAAGUAACUUUCCAGGUGUCUCUGUUUUUCUAAUAAACAGUUACUGUUUAUUAAAAAAAAUCAAUAUAUAAAAAGACAGUAUUGUAUUGAAUUAAAAGUUCCAAAACAGAUAAGUUCUGUUCUUUCCCUGUAUGCACAAUUUUUGACUUACAAAGCUUACACUGACAGCAGCCCCACUGGGUAAGUAUUCCAUAAAGGCACAGGUAAGUGCGAGAUGAUUUAAACUUUAGUGUCUGAUAAUCCCAGCCAGCUUUUGAAACUAACAGGUAAUCAUUAAAUACAAACGAAUUUUGAAUGAAUAAAAAAUAAAAAUAGUUUCAGGCCAAAAUACAAAGCCAUAAUUAGGAUGAUUUUGACAAUAUAUUAUGCCUGAAAAUUAAAGGUAGAAUGUAGGAGCUGGAUUACUUGCACAGAAAAGCAUGCAGUUAUUGAAUUUUGAUGAUAUUACCCUUUAUACAGCUUUGUAGUGUGCGCACAGUUUGGCUCUGUCGUUUCUCACAAUUUUUGAUUGCUUUUUUUGUGUGUUGCUGACUUUAGCAAGAUUGAAAUGGCACCUGUUCAGAAUCUAGUUUGCAGGACUUUAUGGGAAAAAAAAAAAAAUUAAAUGUGCAAGGGAGAGAUUUUAGAAAUAAAAUCAGGUACAUCAUGAUGUAUAUGUUUCAGCUAUUUUCCAUUUACUGAAUGAAAAGUUGGUGUUUAUGAAUAUCAAUAUGUAUUUUGAAUGAUUUGGCUAGCAGGUAGGUGUCCCUUCCUGGAGCGAACUGGAACAGCUCGGGCACGGUGAUGGGCCUUCUGCAUCUGCUGCGGAUUUAGCUCAAGUGGCCAGGGCUUUCAGAAAGGAAAAGUCCAUCUCUGCUGCUCCAGGAAGUUCUGCCUGGCAAAAACACCACCAUGGUAAUAACAGAAAGAUUUAGGGCACCGAGCUUUGUUGCAGUGGUGAGGCAAGACAGAGAUGUGCACCCAGGAAAGCCUGACACUGUGUCACACUGAAAGUGUCAGAAAAGAAGCAAAUGAAUUGUCUUGAAUGAGAACAAACCCAAGAUUUAUUUUAAUUUUUUCCUGGUCUGUCUGAAAACCUCUAAGGAAACAUUGCCAGAUCAGAAGGAAUCUCAGUAACUUUCAGAAUCUAGUUGGACUGGUUUGCUAUCAGCCUGGCUGAUCCUCUGUCAGCUUACAUGGAGGACUCCUCUGGAUCUUGGACCUCCAGCACCUGCAGCUGUGUGGGCAGCCAGGCACGGGACACACGGGCUUUUGAUAGCCGUCAGUAAGCUAUCUCUAAGGCUUCAGGUUGUGUGAAAGUAACUGCAAAAUUUGGGUGUUUUGUUUUGGGUUUUUUUUUUCCUCCAAGUUGGAAUUGGAAAAAAACUUGAAAGAAUUGAAACUUUGUGAUCUGGCAGGGCUGUAGCUGUGGUGGUCUCCUGAGGGAUGGUGGGAAGGAAGGUGUGGGGCACUGUCCCCAUGGCUGUUCUAACCCACCAGAGGCAAGCGAUGGGCAGUGCAUUUACAACAGCCAAGUGUUACAAGGCCAUAGAUGCUGUGUAAGGAAUUUCUCCAUGGUUUCAGCUGUAGUUUUGGAGGAAACCAUCUAAUAAUCUCUAUCUUUAGAAGUAUUUGUGGUUGAAGUGCCUUGUGCAACAGCUGAUUCCUCAGCUGGUUAGCAGCGGCAGCAGAGCUGCAAGGUCGAACAGCUUGAGGAACUGCCCCCUUGGUUUUGUACAGGUGUGUUGCAGGAGUGAAACCAGCUGAGUCUACAUGUUGAGCUUGCUUGUUUGUUUGACUAAUUUUGGAAACAGUACCAUUCCUAACACUGCAGCUGUGUUUUUGAGGUCAGAAGGAGCAGGACGUUGACAUGUACAGCAGUGAAAGUGUGAUGUUGUGGCAGAGAUGUUUAAUCUGGCCUUGCAGAAAUUCAUAGAUAUAAGUGGAAAGCACCGUGUACUCUUGCAUCAAGAGGCUGUAGUCUUGCUUGUGUCUGCAGUGCUGUACGUACCCACAUACUUUUAAAGAAUGAAGAGUAAGUUUACUUUCAGAGUCUGUGUGUGUCCACGUGUCUGUAAAUAAUAUAUUUUCUUAGCUCCUUCAUGUCUUGAAGAAUCUCAUCUUUUCUAGUACCCACACUAGGUUAGUUGGCCACGCUGGUGCAGGAUUCCCCUACAGCAGAGUCCUGCCAACGCAAGCAGCGUGCAGCAGCUCUGUGCUGGGAAGGGAAAAAACCUCACUUUUGAUUUGGGGGCUGCCAUUUUUGAGUUUAAACGUGGUUCCUGAAACAUGGUCAGCUGGAGAAAGUUUUUGGUGGUGUUUGGCUUGUUUAUGUCUCACAUGAUUCUCAUUGUGCUUUCAGAUAGAUCCCAGUAAUCCCAUCUCACCUCUGUUAUGCGUGGUUACCUAUAAUACCCUGGACAAUGGCCUAGCUGUGCUUCUGAAUGCCUGUGGCUCUUCAAGUACCUCUUCCAUGUGCUUUUGCAUCUCUGGAGAC